rnacentral:lncRNA from 1 species
UUGUUGCCGUCACCGUCUUCGUCGCUGUUGUUAUUGUUGUUCUUGGUGACGUCCUCCUUGCUAUUGUUGUUGUGCCGAUGCAACUUGCGUUCCCUUUUGUUGCACCCGUGUGUUUUCAAGACCGCUUCCUUCGAGCCAUGAUGAGCGGCAGUUCAAGACAAAAGAGGCUCGCGGUUGCGACGAUCAUUUGAAGGCGCAGUUCAACGAAAAUGAAGGAGCACAGGGCGAAUCUUCGACGUGGUACCGUGAUCACACGGUGCAGCUGAUUCGCAUGCCUUUGUUUGCCUGAUCAUACGAGCGCAUUGCCGGUCGUAUCUUCGCACUAAUAUUGAUAGCAUGUGUAGUAUAGUGUGGCGGAUACGCUUGUAGAGCACACCGUGAGUGGCGUAAAAGUUGUGUAGCAAAACGUAAACCCGCUGUGGUAUUUACUGCGGCAGCCAUAGAAAAGAGCUGCCGACAAUGAACAAACGAAGGGAACAAACGCCGGAAUCCCUUACCGAAGCCCAAAUUCCGGCGUGUGACAUCGGGGCAUAGGCUGUAUGAUACCGGUAAGCGAGCCUGCAGAAAGCUGUUUGUCGCUCUUUAUGUCUCCGUACACCAUGUGCCAUUCGUCGACGAACGUAGCGACUGUAAGCGAUCCCGCGCGGGAAACGCGGCCAUCAGCAGAUAGGAGGUACGAUAACGACGUCAACCAACGCAACGACAGAACCGCAGUCGUCACCACCCAACAUCGGCAUUGAAUUCCUUUAAAGGCUCCCAGCCCAGCCACCACCAAUCCUCAAUAUAUGAGUUUUAAAGGAGCAUACAUUUCCUUUUCCAUUCUAUAGUAGAACACUCCGCAGAGAAGGGAACUCGAGGGGGUGAAUCAAUAUCUAACCGUGAAGCUCAAGACUUGUCCUUCAAGCCGCAGUGCUAAGCACAUAUCGUCAUGACGGAGUUCUGUGCAUUAUGCUAUGGCUAUUAGUGGUAAUAGAGUUAGCAAAACAAAACAAAUCGCGUCAUAUUGUGAAGGAAAGUUCGUGCCACAAAAAUUAAUUUCAUCAGAAAUGCAACCGUAGACUAGGCUUAUUCCGGUCUGAUACGCAGAACUUGGUUUCUAGUUUAUUUGUUUGUACCGCUCAGACAUAUUAUUAAUUUAAUAGGUUCGUAGACAAGCAAGCAAGCAAAAUUGUUACGUUAUUUAUCCUAUUUUCCUUAAAAUGAUUUAGAAACUUGUCAAUGGAUUAUGUGUUUAAAGUCUAACGGAAAAGGCUUUAAGGUAAGUAGACAAACUAAGUCGCAGCUUCUGUAUCUAAACGAAAAAAUGAGUGCUUUUUAUUAGAAAAAAAAUAGUUAUUGAUUCACUAAUAUGAAAUAUCUAUAGCGAAGAUUUAAUAUAGCCCAGUGUUUUUGUUUGAACCCAAUUUACUGCAUUCAUAAACCUACUUUGAAUCUAGUUAAUUGGCAACGGGUUGUUAUGUUAGGUUAAAUUUGACAGUUUGUAAAUGGUAAUUACACAUAAGAGUAUUCCCAUCCAUAUAAUGUCCCAAAUUCUUACGACAGUUACCCAUAAGUAUCCAUCUAUCUCUCGCAUCCUUUGUAAGAAGCUAAAACCUCUUUUUCCGAUAAAUUUCAUAGCCAAAAUGUUGCCUUCAAUUAUCACCAUGUUCUAUCGCCAGCGAUCCCCUACAGUUGCGUUUGUUAGAAAGGAGAGCAAAUUAGUGCCAGCCCUGUAUUCUGCAUUAUUUUAGUAUAUAUGUUUAUAUAAUUAGACGUGGAACGAAACGGAAGUUGCCGCUACAAAUCGUAAAUGAAGGUCUGUCUGUUAGUGGGUAAAGUAAGAUAUGACUUCAUUCAUCGACUUUACGCACGACACAGUCAAUGCACGCUACGCUCCUUCGCCGUUGGUUACUGCGAAGUCCCAUUUAACUUAUCCAUCACCCGCGGAGGAGGCAUAGUAGAGGCUCCGGCAUGAAGCCAGCUCGUUACGCUCACCGUGACGUAAGUUGGAUAAAUCGUUACCGUCGAAGUGAUCUCUGCUGCAUAACUCAACAAACUCCGAAGCGACCUGCGUCGUUGUUGAAGCUGUAGACGUAUCUCUUAAACACGUUACGUGAGAGAAUCAUUACAUCUGAAUGCCCACUUAAUGCAUAUGAGCAUCUACAGCUUCGGAUGACCACGACGACAACAGUUCUAUUUAAAUUGAUGAAAGAUGCAUUGGCAAUUGA